rnacentral:rRNA from 1 species
AUUGAACGCUGGCGGCAUGCCUUACACAUGCAAGUCGAACGGUAACAGGUUAAGCUGACGAGUGGCGAACGGGUGAGUAAUGUAUCGGAACGUGCCCAGUCGUGGGGGAUAACUGCUCGAAAGAGCAGCUAAUACCGCAUACGACCUGAGGGUGAAAGCGGGGGAUCGCAAGACCUCGCGCGGUUGGAGCGGCCGAUAUCAGAUUAGGUAGUUGGUGAGGUAAAGGCUCACCAAGCCGACGAUCUGUAGCUGGUCUGAGAGGACGACCAGCCACACUGGGACUGAGACACGGCCCAGACUCCUACGGGAGGCAGCAGUGGGGAAUUUUGGACAAUGGGCGCAAGCCUGAUCCAGCCAUGCCGCGUGCGGGAAGAAGGCCUUCGGGUUGUAAACCGCUUUUGUCAGGGAAGAAAAGGUUCUGGCUAAUACCUGGGACUCAUGACGGUACCUGAAGAAUAAGCACCGGCUAACUACGUG